rnacentral:tRNA from 1 species
GCACCCGUAGCUCAGUUGGAUAGAGCGUCUGACUACGAAUCAGAAGGCCGGAAGUUCGAGUCUUCCCGGGUGCACCA